UACGAAGGGGGGCUAGCGUUGCUCGGAUUUACUGGGCGUAAAGGGCGCGUAGGCGGUCAGCACAAGUCAGUUGUGAAAUCUCCGGGCUUAACUCGGAAAGGUCAACUGAUACUGUGCGACUAGAGUGCGGAAGGGGCAACUGGAAUUCUCGGUGUAGCGGUGAAAUGCGUAGAUAUCGUAAGGAAGACCAGUGGCGAAGGCGGGUCUCUGGACAGUUCCUGACGCUGAGGCACGAAGGCCAGGGGAGCAAACGGG
rnacentral:rRNA from 1 species